rnacentral:rRNA from 1 species
UGGGGAAUAUUGGACAAUGGGGGGAACCCUGAUCCAGCCAUGCCGCGUGUGUGAAGAAGGCCUUAUGGUUGUAAAGCACUUUAAGCGAGGAGGAGGGUACUGGUAUUAAUACUACCAGCUACUGGACGUUACUCGCAGAAUAAGCACCGGCUAACUCUGUGCCAGCAGCCGCGGUAAUACAGAGGGUGCGAGCGUUAAUCGGAUUUACUGGGCGUAAAGCGUGCGUAGGCGGCUAAUUGAGUCGGAUGUGAAAUCCCCGAGCUUAACUUGGGAAUUGCAUUCGAUACUGGUUAGCUAGAGUGUGGGAGAGGAUGGUAGAAUUCCAGGUGUAGCGGAGAAAUGCGUAGAGAUCUGGAGGAAUACCGAUGGUGAAGGCAGCCAUCUGGCCUAACACUGACGCUGAGGUACGAAAGCAUGGGGAGCAAACAGG